AUGGGAUGCCUCGCCUCCAGACAUCCUUUCCCACUUUUUCAGUUGGUGAAUUAAAGGAACAGCCCUCCCAGCGGAACGGGGUUAGCUCAUGAAAGACGCACUCACUCCCUGCUCUCUGCCAGGAAGAGAACCUAUUUGCAUACAAUUUAUUGCAAAAGUAGGAAUUCCCUCUCCCCUCGCCUCCUGCCCCUGACUGGGAGCAGCUGUUAGUAACUAAGAGUGGUUUUUGCUUUGCUCCGCAGACGGUUUUUCUAACUGUGAGACGGAAGCCCAGGGAGCGAGAGGGAGAAGACUCAGCAGCUCUGGCUCUCUCACCAGGCAAGCUGGAAACAUGGAAAGGAGACCGGGGGCUAACCCGCCCGGGCGCUGGGCAGCAGCUGCUCAGUGGCGCCUCGGAGAGAGCAGAGGGGCUGAGCCGAAUUCCUGGAAAGAGGAGAUAAAGCCUUUCGAAAGCCUGGGAGUGUUUGGGGUUUCUCAGGGCCAGCAGAGAGAUACGGCAUUAGUUCUCAGCAGGUGGGGAAAGCACUGGGAACACAGAUCAGUCUGGAGUCUCUUUUGGGGAGACAGCCACAGUCCCGUCCAGCUGCCUGGAGGCGGUAUUGUCCCAGCCCCGGUGCACUACAGGGGAGCAGCUUUUUGACACUGAACAUGCCCUGUGCCUGGUCCUGUCUUCUAAGCUGCCUCUCCUAAAGAAAGGUCUCCGAGUUUUCUUCUCAAUGCUGAAAGGUGCCCACCAUAAGAAAAAAAAGUAACAAGUUAAUCUUUGAAACAUAAGCUGCGCCUUUGCUCUCCAGCCUGCUGUGGAUUCUUUCCAAGCUCUGAGUCAUCGAUGAAGAAAAUGAAGUUCGGAGAAGUAAUGGAAUCUCACUGAGGGAAUGCACCUGGGGAGCAUUUAAAUGACAACACUGGGCUUCACAGUUCUUUCUAUUACACGUUACUGCCCAGGAACAUUAACAUAAGAGGGAAACUAGAUUCCCCAACACAUCCAUUUCACAGGUGAGGAGAGGGGGCCCAGAGAAGAGAAAUGACUUACCCAAGGCCACCUCGGCUGCUUUCCAUGAAGAUGGUCCUCAAGGUCAGAAAUGAGCAACCAAACCACAUUAGACAUUACAGCGGAGGAUGCUUAUGGAAUCAAUACCCAUUCAUCCUCCUGUCUGGCAGAGGCUGCACCUCUUGGCAUCCGGUGUCUUAUGGUGGCCCUCUGCUCAGUACGGUAAACACUUUUUCCCAAAGCUGUGUAUUCCCUCUGUAACCUGCGUUAAGUCCUGAGAUCCUUUGACUCACUUGCAUUCAUCACGGCAGCCUGCACGCACACCAGCAAACAUGACCAAAACCAGCCCCUCA